CAAAAAUGUCUUUAUUGGUUAUUAAAUGAUAACAAGUACUGCAGGUUAGACAUAAAGCCAAAGCAGUUACAAGUUAAAAUCAACACGACCAUGUCUGAAUAGAAACCUGCCAGGCAGGGAGGUUAUCUUGGGAGAUAGCCUCUUACAGCAGGAAGGAAGGGGUUGGGGAGGAAGCCAAAGAAAAGGUGGUCGCUGCAGCAGCUCCACGGGACAAAAGACUAUGCAGGCCUGUGAAGCGUUCCUCCGUGGCAUUGGCAGACAAGGGCCAACGGGUCAGAACCAAAACCACAAGGGAGUCACAGACUGAACAUAGACAACAAAACCCCCCGGCCGGGGCCUGGGCACACGACAAACACCAGCACAGAACACAACUCAAAGUGACACUCCAGCUGCGGCUGCUGCCAAGGAAAAGCCGCUCUCCGCAAAAGCUCCUAACACACCACCUCCUCCUAGGAGUACAUCAUUUCACUAAAAGGUAAACAAGUACAAAUAUGGCCACCAAAAAGGGAACGAGGCGCUAGCAGUGGGGUCUGAGGCAGGCAAUGAACACUCCCAAGGAGAGCGCAAAGGGACAGAUGACUUCACAUUUAGUGUGAACCCAUUACAAACCCAUCUAGGAAAUCGCACGGCACUUUUCUGAAAACCCAGUUGCGGCUGCUGCCAACCCCCAUCUUCUGACAUCACAAGUCUUCUAAGCUGUUUUAUGGCUGUGAAUCAAUCACCCCCUGGUUCUGGAAGAACCAAAAUGACAGAGAACCCUGUGUUGUCAUGUGUGGCAAGCAGCCCACCACAUUUUACCAAGGACAACUGGUAUACGAGUGAGAAAUGGCAUGAAAGACAUGAUCAGGAUUGGGGCUUGCAUCUGAGACAACAGACAGCUGUGGGGCUGCACUGCAAGAGGAAGUGGGGCCUCUGUGGGAGCUGUCCCUGUACCCUCCUUCCCCACAGAUCAAACCAGGGGCCCAGUCACAUAUUGGCCAUUAUGCAAGUCAGCUUCCAGAGCCGCGGUCUCAAAAGCAGGAAGCAAAAAGGUGGAUGUCUUUCUUGCAGAUUGAGCCCAAUCUUGCUCUAAAAUUACCUGGGGUACAUGGGAAGACUCUUGCCUUUGGUCUUAUAGCCCUUUAUCUAUCCAGGCUUUUGAAUCAGGAAAAGAACCCUAACACCACCCUUGGCCUGGGGGAGAUGAUCCCAAAACCUAAAACAUUUGGAACCUAACCAAAGUAUGUUUCAUGAAUGACAAGGUUUAAACACCUGAAUGGAUCUUAUCUUGAAAACUCUUUCCAACCUGGCCCUCACAUGACUCUGCUGGCCCUAGCAACACCUAAAUUUUAUCUUGCAAUGUUCUCUUCCACUUCAUUCAGGGACCUGUUUCAAAUUAGCAAAGAUAGUCCAUUGAAGACUUCCAUCCUACAGGGUUUAUGCCCCACAGUAGCCUCUUUAGGACGUUUUGGCCAUUUUCCUAGCAUUUUCUCAAACCCUUAAAUGCAGUUGAUAAGUGGGAGGCUUUAGUAUAGGGCAAGAUAGAGAAGCAGAUGACAAGUAUAAGCUCCUCCCUCCCCCCCGCCUCAGAAGGAAAUGUGUUCCCACAAAAUGCCCAACUGACACCUAUCAGAAGUUGUGUAAUUGGAAUAGAAUCUUCAGUUUGAACAAGACCAGAGAGGUCCCCAUCACACCCCCAAGUUAUCCCUUAAUAUGACAGGGAACCCACAAUCUCACAGCCAACUCACUAGAUAGUCGCAAUCAUAAGAGCUUCUUUCCACUUAGAUUGGGCUGAAAACAACUCCCCUGGCAUAUCUACCAGUUGGUACCCAUUCUACCUUCUGGAAUGGACUCUGCACAACAUAUCUCCUCCCUCUUUCCCAUGAUCCCUCUUUUAAUAUUGAAAGGUAGCAAUCAUAUCUAAUAAGAAAUGUUUUCACAUCUUUCCGAGUGAAUGGGAGGCCUGCUGCAAACUAUAUGGUGAAGGGAGAUAAUGAACCUAUUGCUUAUCUCACAAUCCAGUUUCUCAUACUAAAGAAAACAGGCAUGGUGAGGGCAUCCAUUGGUUUGUUAGGCCAUAAAAAGUGGCUAUUUUAUAAAGUCAGAAAGAAUGAAUAAUUGGCACAAAAAGAGAUCAGGAUGACAAGUUGAUGUAUGCCAGCAGAGGGAAUACUCAUGGAUAGGUUUAUUUUCAUCUCAAUAGA
ensembl:lncRNA